UUUAAGCGCAACUAUCAGUUUCAGUUUCUAAUUAUGAUCGUCCGUCUUAUUUAAAUAUUUUUAUAAUUAAUUAUUUUAUUAUUAUUAGAUGAUAAAAUAUAAGUAGUACUUUUAUUCGUGACUUAUGUUUUUUAAAAAAAAAAAAAUAAAACAAACCAUUAAAACUGAAAACGAAAGCUCAUAACUGCGAUAAAA
rfam:Oryza meridionalis cultivar OR44 (W2112) chromosome 7, whole genome shotgun sequence.